rnacentral:tRNA from 1 species
GCGCGGGUGGCGGAAUGGUAGACGCGCUAGUUUCAGGAGCUAGUGCUGUAAAAGGCGUGUGAGUUCGAGUCUCAUCCCGCGCA